GAUGAACGCUAGCUACAGGCUUAACACAUGCAAGUCGAGGGGCAGCAUGGACUCAGCUUUGCUGAGUUUGAUGGCGACCGGCGCACGGGUGAGUAACGCGUAUCCAACCUGCCCUUUACUCCGGGAUAGUCUCCUGAAAGGGAGUUUAAUACCGGAUGUGUUUGUUUUUCCGCAUGGGAGCGACAAAUAAAGAUUAAUUGGUAAAGGAUGGGGAUGCGUCCCAUUAGCUUGUUGGCGGGGUAACGGCCCACCAAGGCAACGAUGGGUAGGGGUUCUGAGAGGAAGGUCCCCCACAUUGGAACUGAGACACGGUCCAAACUCCUACGGGAGGCAGCAGUGAGGAAUAUUGGUCAAUGGGCGAGAGCCUGAACCAGCCAAGUAGCGUGAAGGACGACGGCCCUACGGGUUGUAAACUUCUUUUAUAAGGGAAUAAAGUUCGCCACGUGUGGUGUU
rnacentral:rRNA from 1 species